UUGUGCUUGAUCUAACCAUGUGGCCCCCUCCUGUUGUGACAUCACAUGGUUCCGUCAAGCGCCAGG
ensembl:miRNA gmo-mir-218a-1 gmo-mir-218a-1